AAAAUUAAAAAAAAAGAGAGCUGAACCAGGAAAAAGCAAAUCUAUAGGUGAUAUUAUUCUAAGCAGAGAUUUAUGUCACCAUUUCUGCUUUGAUUUUACCGUGAAGCCUGUACAUCCCAUCAAAGUUGAAGAUGACAGCUAUAAUGGUGGUGAGUAAGCAGACAAUGGAACAAUUUACAGGUGGAAGUAGCUCAAACUGGGCUCUGUCUUUGCCGCCUCUUUCAAGAAAAAUUUUCAACCCAAAUUUCUUAACAAAUUUCUUAUAACAACAUGCAAAACAAAAGAAAGAAAGGUAAUCUUUGCCAUACUUGUAACAACCCAUAAUGCAAUUUCGAAUUUGAGAAAGGAUAAAAAAAAGAGAGACAAAGAGCAGAUUUUUGUACCAAGAAAGAGUGAGAAUAGAUUUUUGUAGCAAAGAAGGAGUGAGGGUAGGCAGAAUUUUGGAAAGGAAAGGGAAGAAUUUAGGAAACGAGGGGUAGGGAAAAUUGGGAUGAGCUUUAAUUUAGGGUUUCAAUUCGCGGUAUUUAAUGGCAACCACCACUAAAGUAUGUCUUUUAGUGACGUUUAUUAACAAAAAUG
rnacentral:lncRNA from 1 species